CGAGUGAGCGGCAGAGCUCAAAUUUGAAAUCUGGCGGCAUUCUGUCGCUCGAGUUGUAAUUUGAAGAGCUCAACCUUGGACACAGGCUCUGUCUAUGUUUCUUGGAACAGGACGUCACAGAGGGUGAGAAUCCCGUGAGGUGGGGCUAUUUGUGUGUUCUUGUAGGUUGUGCUCGACGAGUCGAGUUGUUUGGGAAUGCAGCUCUAAGUGGGUGGUAAAUUCCAUCUAAAGCUAAAUAUUGGCGAGAGACCGAUAGCGAACAAGUACAGUGAUGGAAAGAUGAAAAGAACUUUGAAAAGAGAGUGAAAAAGUACGUGAAAUUGUUGAAAGGGAAGGGCAUUAGAUGAGACUUGGUGCAGCAGGCACAUCCUCCUCUUGUAGGGGGUGCACUCCUGCUGUGCUGGGCCAGCAUCGAUUUGUGCGGUGGGAUAAUUCUUCUUGAAUGUGGCUGUUCUGCAGUGUUAUAGCUUGGAGAGAUACCGCCAGCGUGGAUCGAGGACUGCGUUCUUUUUGAACUAGGAUGCUGGCGUAAUGAUCUAAUGCCGCCCGUCUAAAACCGGGGAACCA
rnacentral:rRNA from 1 species